CGAGAUGAGUUCUCCCUGACCCUUUCAGGGUCCUGAAGGAACGUUGAAGACGACGACGUUGAUAGGCCGGGUGUGUAAGCGCAGCGAUGCGUUGAGCUAACCGGUACUAAUGAACCGUGAGGCUUAACCUU
rnacentral:rRNA from 1 species